AACCUGAUAGUUUAGAGGUUAUGAUUCCUGCUUUAGGUUUUCCCGACAACCCUAAUUGCAGGAGGUCCUGGGUUCAACUUUCAGUCAGGCCC